UACUUCUUCCCUGCAAUCCAUUCUCUCAGGCUCUUAUCUGUAUCCAUAAAAUUCUUUCCUAGUCUCAUUCUGAGCUACAAACCUGGCUCGGUUCCCUUCAUGCUGUGACUCAUUUUUCCCAAACCCCCUGACUCAUGCUGCUUGCUCACUUACGCAACAGCUUAAUCUCUGUAAUUUUCUUCAUAUCUUUAUGAGAAGUACAUAAAUUCACAAGAUGCAUUUCACCAGUACUUUUGUAGAAAAAGUCCAACCCAAACUACCCUUUGUCUUAUUUCAGCCUCUUAAAUCUCUACUCCUCUAGCUCGUACCUAGCUGUGUUCUGAACUAACUCAUAUGUGCCUUACUCUUGGGACUGCAGUGCUUGGCUUGCUGCUCUCUGGUUCUCAACACACUGCAGUUUACUACACUGUUUUCCUGCUCUGUUUGCAUAUUCAUGUGUUCGUAACAGCCAGAAAAUGCCCGUGGGUCCCUUUCUCUAUUCUGGUCUGUAGCAACCCUGCAAGCAGAAUAUUACAGCAGAUCAAGAAGGGGGGCUAGUGACCUUACAGGAUUCAAAUUCUUUCUUCUGUCCCUGCUGAGCAGCACCAGUGGAGCAGCUCCUGAAUGGUUUAUACAAACCUAAACCCAGAAUAACUCCAACCAUGUCAGUGUUGCACUUGUCACUGACUUCAGUGAAGCUGUUCUCAAUGUUUUGAAUGUAAAUGAUAAAUAUUUUGGUUAAUCAGUUUAAAUUUUCUGAAUUCUCAGUAUGAGUGAGACCAGAAAAUGACUCAGUCUAUUUUUCUAAUAGAUACAGCUGAACCAAAAACAUUGCCUCCCACAGAAGCAAUGGCACCAGUGAGUCUGAUAUUAGACAUACAACGAUCUGCACAGCCUCGAAGAAGAGUAUGCCAUGCGGUCUGCAAACUCCACAGCCAAAGGCCCCUACCAGUACAAGCCAUGGCUCAUCCAGACCUGUAGGACUGUGCUCUGCUAAAAGGACAUACUUUGAUAUCAAGCCACAACCACAGGUUAUUAAGUGAAGCAAGCACCGUUCAAAUGACAAUAAUUAAAAUGAUUAUUACAAUUAAAAGUAGUAUGGCUAAUAUUUGUCUAAUACAAGGCCACAAAAACUACUGCCAAGAAUCAACAGAAUUUUCUACCCAUGACAC